rnacentral:rRNA from 1 species
AAACUACCUCAGCACGGGGAUAAACCCGGGAAACUGGGUAUAAUACCCGAUAGUUCUGGGAUGCUGGAAUGCUUCCAGGACGAAAGCUCCGGCGACUGAGGAUGGGUCUGCGGCCUAUCAGGUAGUAGUGGGUGUAAUGUACCUACUAGCCUACGACGGGUACGGGUCGUGAGAGCGAGAGCCCGGAGAUGGAUUCUGAGACACGAAUCCAGGCCCUACGGGGUGCAGCAGGCGCGAAAACUUUACAAUGCUGGCAACAGCGAUAAGGGGACCUCGAGUGCCAGGAUACAAUCUUGGCUGUCGUAAUGCCUAAAAAGCAUUGCAUAGCAAGGGCCGGGCAAGACCGGUGCCAGCCGCCGCGGUAACACCGGCGGCUCGAGUGGUAACCGCUAUUAUUGGGUCUAAAGGGUCUGUAGCCGGCCGGAUAAGUCUUUUGGGAAAUCCAGCUGCUCAACAGUUGGGCUUUCAGAAGAUACUGUUCGGCUCGAGGCCGGGAGAGGUGAGAGGUACUUCAGGGGUAGGGGUGAAAUCUUGUAAUCCUUGAAGGACCACCAGUGGCGAAGGGUUUCACCAGAACGUUCCUGACGCCAAGGGACGAAAGUUAGGGGCACGAACCGGAUUAGAUACCCGGGUAUUCCUACCCGUAAACGAUAUUCGCUAGGUGUCAGCCACGGUGCGACCGUGGUUGGUGCCGUAGGGAAG